CGCCAACGUCACGCCAAGUGAAAGAAGCCAGACACCAGGGCCUGCUUCCACCUUCGGCCGGCGUCCUUACCGGCCGGGCCGCGAACAGACGCAGAGGCGGGGCUGCUCCUGGGGCCAGCGCAGGACAGGCCGCCCCCUGACCGGCUCACAGGUCAGCACCCUGAAUGCCAGCAACCGCCUGCUUCAUCCUAAGGAGACAAACAGGACCGGCACCGACUCCCGUGUCCAGCGACGGGGUGUAAGAGUGACACAAAACGCCACGCGGCCACGAAAAAGAGGAGGCCAAGUUGUAACUAUGCACGUUGCAAAGUUAGUGAAAAAGCAAGUUACAGAAAUGUGCGCCACGUGGGCCCGUUUUUACUAAGAGCGUGUGGGUGUUCGGGCGCAGAGAGAAAACCGGCCGCAAAGCCCAUGGCAGGCGUGGAGAGAAGCAAACAGAGAGUCUGGAGCGGGGCUCCUGUGGCCCUCCCCGCCAGCACACCGUAGGGGGGGCCAGGACACACCGAGGGGACCACAGCAGAAAGGCCACCUUACCUCUGUGCCCUGCGUCAGCAGGUUCUGGAAGGAAGACCAGAACUCUCUACGGAGGACCUGCUUCAGCUUCCGGGGCAGCAUCUCUCCCGGGUCCCGGGAGCCCUGGGCAGAGAGGAGGCAGGGGCAGGUCUGAGGGCUGUGCGGAGACCCCCCCUGCACUGGCCGCCUGCCCAGCGUGGGCAGCAGGCCAGGCCCCUGGAGCCACAGGCGGAUGAGCGUCUGGCCACUUGGCCGUCUGGGGGCUGGAGAGACAUUGUCCAGAGCGCACUGCCCACGUCAGCCUGUGUGGAGCAGGGGUGCGUCAGGACACAGGCAUGACGUCGGGAGUGCACGCGGGCCCCGGAGCGCCUGUCACAAACACCGGCCCCCCCCCCACCCGGCCACCAGCAGAAGGGCCUGUUUUAACGCCUGUUUGCAUUCCCCACAUGCCGUCUCUCACCUCCGCUCCCCCGGCUGCACUCCCGUCCCCUCCCAACGCCACCCGCCCCAGGGACGCGGGCCCUGCACCCCCACUGCCUGGUUCCGCCGCCCCCCCCUCCACAGGAGACCCUGUUUGUUAUUAAAGUCUAA